rnacentral:rRNA from 1 species
GUCUACGGCCAUGUCACCCUGAAUAAGCCCGAUCCCAUCUCAUCUCAGAAGCUAAGCAGGGUCGGGCCUGGUUAGUACUUGGAUGGCC